rnacentral:miRNA from 1 species
ACCUGUAGGUGACAGUCAGGGGCGGGGUGCGGUGGGGCUGGGGCUGGCCCCCUCCUCACACCUCUCCUGGCAUCACCCCCCAG